rnacentral:rRNA from 1 species
CCUACGGGAGGCAGCAGUGAGGAAUAUUGGUCAAUGGCCGGAAGGCUGAACCAGCCAUGCCGCGUGAAGGUCAGUGCCCUAUGGGCGUUAAACUUCUUUUGUGCGGGAGCAAUAAUGGUCACGUGUGGCCAGACGAGAGUACCGUACGAAUAAGCAUCGGCUAACUCCGUGCCAGCAGCCGCGGUAAUACGGGGGAUGCAAGCGUUAUCCGGAUUUAUUGGGGUUAAAGGGUGCGUAGGCUGGGAGGUAAGUCAGCGGGGAAAUGCCCCGGCUCAACGGGGUGAAGUGCCAUUGAUACUGGCUUGCUGGAGUGCGUGUGCGGUAGGAGGAAUGUGUGGUGUAGCGGUGAAAUGCAUAGAUAUCACACAGAACACCGAUUGCGAAGGCAGCUCACGGGUCCGCGAUUGACGCUGAUGCACGAAAGCGUGGGUAUCGAACAGGAUUAGAUACCCGAGUAGUC